GUGUGCUCGUGUCGUAAAGAAGUGUGUCGGUAGUGCAGCAGUGAAAAUUUAACUUGCCAGGCUGUUAGGACAAACGGCCGGGAAAAUCGUGGCAAAUCUAUCCCUUGCUGGGAAGACAAAUCAGCACUGCGAACACGAUAGUGGCACGACACGCGGAAGCAAAACUACCGCUGGAACACGACAGAAGCACAAAUCACGGAAAACGCACGAAGAGAUCCGUUAAUUGCUCGGAAUACUGCUCACACAGUAAAACGGAAGAAUCCGCCCGUUUGGGAAGAAGAAAAAAGGAAGCGCCAAAGAAGCCCCUCGAAAAAGGGGCUUUUCUUUUUCCCCUUAUUUUCUUCUCUUUUUUGGUUUCUGUAUCUUCAUCUCGGGCACUGCUCGAGCGGGUGGCUGCCAGGCGGAAGCACGCCAAUCGCUGGAAUCGUCGAUUUCGGAACAUCCGGGAACGCGAAGGAGCCGACAUUCGGAUAAGCUACGGCAGAGGAGCCUUGUUGGCGAUUGGGAGUAGAUUUCGGCCACAGCAAUUCAUCCGGAGAGUUGCGCCGACGAAGACAGCAGCUUGUUUGCUGUUCGGGGAGCGCCGACAAAAAUCACCGAACAAUGGGAGCAAUCAUCCGGAUUGUCAACAUCCGUGAGUUGUGUUCAUUCCGCCAUCUGGUGGCGGGAAUUGGUGGCGCGAAAUCGAGCAAGGUGGCCAGGAAGCAGACAACGCGAUCGAGCCAGUCCCUAUCGACAGCAGCGGUGUUGGCUGGGGAGUUCAACGAAGUUCGGAGAAAGUUAGUGUCCGUGAUCGAGCCAAGAUUAUUCCACCCGGGCAGUCAAAAGAGCCGGAUCAUCGAAUUUACAUCGACAGCAACGGAAUUGUUGUCCGGAGGUGGGUGGCCAUCGCCGCGCCACGGCCGCUUAACACGAUUUUAUGAAACUCAUCGAUGGUGUCAGCCACGACAUCUGGUGGCUGGUGUCGGUACUACUCGGCACCUAAGGUAGCAACAGCGACGGUCGGUCGUUUGCUCCGUGAGCCACCGGGGUGUGUUGGCCGGUCCCCGGAGGCGCAUUGCCUGGUGGCAAGCGUGAACUGUGGUCAGCAGAUGACGAUCGAACUCAGCGACACUUUGGAAGGGCCCGCAACGGUGAGCAACUCAUCAGGUGGAGCAAUGCACAACGAGAAAAAUAUGUAAGUCAAAAUAUGAAGAUCUCUCUUGUUAUUAUCCA